CAGGAAGCCAAGGUCUUUUAAAUAUUUAGAAUUUUGUCAUACAUUUUGUGUAAUAUAUCCAAAAAUAUGCCAGCACUGUUUGGAAAAAUAAGAAAAAUAUAAGAAAAAAAUCUUAAAGUUAUAGAUAAAAUUAUUACAUAAAGAUAUGUUUAUAUAUCACAAAACUGACAGUGGGCAGCUGCUGUAAUAAUACCUGGGUUAUAUUCCAACAACAAUAAUCAGAUUGUUGUUUAGCAGAAGUUUCUAAAAACACUAACCUUUAAAAAUUAAUGUUUACUUGCUGCUGAAACAGGGGACUUUAUGUCAGAUUUUCAAAGUCCAUAAAUAUUAUCAUAAAAUAGUCUUCUUGGAAUUAUGAUUAAUACUGUGAGAAUUGAAGUUAGUUAAAAACACAAUACCAGGUCACCAAUCACAAAAGUUCACCUUCAUAUGUUAGAGCAUUGCACCCAAAGCAAUCAGUAGCAACUUGAAAAUCCAUAUGGAAAGCAAUACAAACUUUCUGGAAUGAAUGGCCAGCACCAAAAAAGGCACAGAUAUUAUUUUACAAACACCAGAUUUACAGGUAUUGGGAGAGAAAAUAAAUUCAAAAUGUAAUUUAGACCAAUCCACACACCAAGACUCAGUUUUGUGCAUAUAAAACCUCUGUAUAAAGCAGCCUCUGAGCUCUGUAGCACUUUUGUCUUUAGCUUCACAGAGGAGGUGAGUAAAGCCUGGGCUCCUGGGAGAAAUGCACUUUCUGUACCCUCUGUCUGAAAGGAAGCAGGGGCUCUGAACACAAUUGUUAAAGAUGUGAAUCAGAUGCACAUGAAAGACAAGCGCCAUCAUAAGAGGUGGUGAAAGUCACAAUCUUAACGUUUAGCUGGGCCCUGUUAUGAAACUCUCUGUACCACCCCAAAAGUUCAUACAAUACACAUUCAUGUUUUAAACUAUGUGAGCUUUGUACAAAUAUGCAACUCAGAACCUUACCUAUUGCCCUAAGCCUAGCUAUGAGAGGCAAAUAUCUCUUAUUGUUUGAAUCUCAGUAUAAGCUUAAUUGUCAAGUCUGAGAAUGGAAGCGCGGUAUAUGUCAUAAUCCCAUUUGUGGGCAAAAAACUAGGCAGGGGGGUAAUAUCCUUUAGGUGCUGUGCCAAGCAACAUGUUACAAUGCCCUCUCUAGGCAGGCCCUAGGAAGGAGGGUAACAUUAAUUUCGUGCUGGACCUAGCAAUAGGACACAAUUCCACAUGUGGAAAAAACCCAGCCAAGAGAUAAAAGACAAAACACCUACAGAACGGGCCCAAGAUAUGUCAAAAUACCUUCUGUGGCUCCAGCACAUGCAGGAGAGUCACAUCAUCAGGGUGCUGGGGCCAGCAGUGUGUCAUAAUUCCCUCUUUAUGCAGGACCCAGGCAGAAGAGUGACAUCAUCUGGGUGCUGGGCCCAGCAAUAUGUUAAAAUUCCCUUUUUGUGGGCAUGGUUCAGAAAAGAGGAGAGUCACAUUACCUAAGUGCUGGACUCAGCAAUAUGUCACAAUUCCCCCAUUGUAAAGGCCCAGGCAGAAGAAGAAAGUCACAUCACUUAGGUCAUGGGCUCAGAGAUAUGUCCCAAUGUCCCCAAUAGGCAGGGCUCAGGCAGAAAAGGAAAAUCAUAUCACCUAGGUGCUUCUCGAGGUGUAUAUCACAAUGUAACAUGUGGGCAGAAACCAGGCAGAAGAGCCACAUCACCUGGGUGCUGGGUCUUCGAUAUGUCACAAGCUACCUUAGGACAAGACCCAGGCAAGAGAGUUACAUCACCUAAGUGCAGGUUCCACCCUUAUGUCACAAUGCUCCAUGUGGACAGGGCCCAAGCAGGGUGUCACAUCACCUAGGUAAUAUGCUCAGAGAUAUGUCACAAUACCCUCCUUGGGGAAUGGCCCAGGCAAAAGAGUACCAUCAUCUCUCUGCCUGGACUACACAUAUGUCAUUAUUCUCCCUGUGUGCAGGGCUUAUUCAAGAGAGGAGAGUUACAUCACCUAAGUGGUGGGUGCAGGUUCCACCCUUAUGUCACAAUGCUCGAUGUGGGCAGGGCCAAGCAGGAAGUCACAUCACCUAGGUGAUAGGCCCAGAGAUAUGUCACAAAGCCUUCCUUAAAGCAUGGCCCUGGCAAAAGAGUACCAUCACCUUUUUGCAUAGCCUAGCAAUAUGUCACUAUUCAAGUGGUAGGUCCCAAGAAGAGCCAUAUCACCUACAUGAUAGGCCCUCUGAUAUGUCAAAAUGUUCUCUUUUGGGCAUGGCCUGGCAAAAAAGUAUCAUCACCUGUGUGCCUGGCCUAGGAAUAUGUCACUAUUCUGCCCUGUGUGUAGGGUCUUUUCCAGAGAGGAGAGUUACAUCUUCUAAGUGAUGGACACAGAGAUAUGUCACGAUGAUGUCUGUGGGCAUGGUGCAGCUGCGUGCUGGAUCCAGUGAUGUCACAAUUCUUACUGAGAGUAGGGCCCAGGCAGAAGAGUUCUUUAACACUUCAAGGUUGGCCCAGGUAGAUAUCAAAAUCCCAUAUGUAGGCUGGAACCAGUCUGAAGAGUGAAAUCUCACAGGUGCUUGGCAAAGAUUUAUAUCACAUGAAAUUUAUAUCACAUGACUAUCACGAUGAAAUAAAAUUUUAGGGAUUAGAUUUACAAUACCACACAUGUUCUGUUUUCAUGUAGGACAGUUGCCUUCAUCCAUCUGUGAUGGUGAAAGUCCUUACUGUCAGGUGGGUGUGCAUAUGAGACUCACAAUUUUCUCCAUGUGCUAGGCCCUGUUCUGACACUCUCUAUACAACCCAAGGGUGUUAUAAAAUAUGUGUGUGUUAUAAUCUUCUGUGACCUUUUUACCAGAAGGAGACCCUUUACAUCACUCAUGUCCCUAAACCUAGUUAUGAGUCAAAAUUUCUCCUAUUGGCUGGGUCCACAUAUGAGUCAUUAUCAUGCCCGUUAGCUGUGCCUAGGUAUGUGUCACCAUCCCCUCUGUAGUUAUUAAACAGGCAGGACAACCACAUCACCUAAAUCCUAAGCCAGAAAUAUUCCAAUAUUCUCUUUGUAGGCAGGGCCCUAACAGAAAAGUCACAAAACUUGGGUGCUAGGCUCAGCUCUAUGGCAUAAUGCCUCUUGUGGAGAACAUCCAGGCAGGAAAGGAGAGUCGCAUCACCUAAGUGAUGGGCCUAGAGAUAUGUCACAACUCCUGUUAAAAGGGCCCAGGCAAGAGAGUCAUGUCAUUUGGAUGCAGUGCUUAGAAAUGCUACACUCUUCACUGGAAGCAGGGUUCAGGUAGGAGAGGAGAGUCACAUAACCUAGAUGAUGGGUCCAGAGAUAUGUGACGGUCCCUUCUGAGGACACUGUUAAGAUAUGAGAGUCAAAUCACCAAGGUUCUUGGCCCAGGUAUACGUCAAUAUGUCAUCUGUGGGCUAUAACAGGCAGGAUUAUUAAAUCACUCAGGAGGUGGGCACAGGUAUAUGUCACAAUAACACCUGUGGAAAUGUUCAGGGAUGAGAGUCACCAUCCUGCACAAGUCCUGGCUCCAGGUACAAGAGUCCUUAUUAGGCCUUUGAUCUGGUCUCUGGUAUAUGGCACAAUAUCACCUGUGAACAGAGAACAAGCAGGAAGGUCACAUCAUCUGCGCGGGUGCUGGUCCAGUGAGAUGUCACAAUCUUUCUGUGAGCAGGACCCUGGAAGAAGAGUCACAUCAUCUGGAUGCUGGUUUUAGUGAUAUAUCAAAAUUCCCCCUGUGGGCAGGUGUUAGUAAGGUGAGGACACUGACUUCACCUAGGCAAUUGGCCUAGAUCUGUGUCACAAUGGCCGCUAUGUGCAAAACCAAGAUAUGAAAGUGACCUCACCUUGGCACUGGGUUUAGCAAUAUGUCACAAUCUCCUCUGUGGUCAGGGCAAGGCAAGAGAGGAGAAAAAUCACCUUGGUGCUUAACAAAGCUUCCUGUUGGCACAACCCAAAGCGCAGAGUCAUAUCACCUGGGUGCAGUACCCAGUUAUGUGUCACAAUGCAUCAUAAGUGCAGGGCCAAGGCAGUAGAAGGGAGUCAC
rnacentral:lncRNA from 1 species